UCCGUUUUGUCAACGGCAGUCUGCCUAGAGUCCUCUUGCGUAGUAACUAAGCAUAAGGGUUGCGCUCGUUGCGGGACUUAACCCAACAUCUCACGACACGAGCUGACGACAACCAUGCACCACCUGUCUAGAUGUCCCGAAGGACUUCUCUAAUCUCUUAGAUAUGCAUCCGAUGUCAAGACCUGGUAAGGUUCUUCGCGUUGCUUCGAAUUAAACCACAUACUCCACUGCUUGUGCGGGCCCCCGUCAAUUCCUUUGAGUUUCAGCCUUGCGGCCGUACUCCCCAGGUGGAUUACUUAUUGUGUUAACUGCGGCACGGACUGUUUCCAGCCCACACCUAGUAAUCAUCGUUUACAGCAUGGACUAC
rnacentral:misc_RNA from 1 species